UGACCAAAAUAUUAAAUAGCAUCAUUGUUAUAAGGUGUUGGUGACACUAAAUUCACUGCAGCCACCAGGGGUCUCCUACUUGUUGUUGAAUAUUUUAA